rnacentral:rRNA from 1 species
GACGAACGCUGGCGGCGUGCUUAACACAUGCAAGUCGUACGGUAAGGCCCUUUCGGGGGUCCACGAGUGGCGAACGGGUGCGUAACACGUGAGUAACCUGCCCACAACUUUGGGAUAACGCUAGGAAACUGGUGCUAAUACUGGAUAUGUGCUCCUGCUGCAUGGUGGGGGUUGGAAAGCUCCGGCGGUUGUGGAUGGACUCGCGGCCUAUCAGCUUGUUGGUGGGGUAGUGGCCUACCAAGGCGGCGACGGGUAGCCGGCCUGAGAGGGUGACCGGCCACAUUGGGACUGAGAUACGGCCCAGACUCCUACGGGAGGCAGCAGUGGGGAAUAUUGCACAAUGGGCGCAAGCCUGAUGCAGCAACGCCGCGUGCGGGAUGACGGCCUUCGGGUUGUAAACCGCUUUCAGCAGGGACGAAGCUUUUUGUGACGGUACCUGCAGAAGAAGCACCGGCUAACUACGUG